rnacentral:rRNA from 1 species
CCUACGGGAGGCAGCAGUGGGGAAUAUUGCGCAAUGGAGGAAACUCUGACGCAGCAACGCCGCGUGAAGGAUGAAGGCUUUCGGGUUGUAAACUUCUUUGAUUGGGGAAGAAAAUGACGGUACCCAAGGAACAAGCCACGGCUAACUACGUGCCAGCAGCCGCGGUAAU